UUUCUAGUGGAAUAUUAAGCAUUUUGCAUGUAUAUGUUUACUGCGGCGAACGUAUUUCAUGUAUCUCACUUUUUUGCAUAUGUUGGAGAUAAUUAUAUGUAUACGCUAGUACGAUGGAGGUGGAUCCCAUGUAUAUCUCUGAACAAGCCCCAUAUAAUUGAUCCCCAUGUUCGCCUCAAAGGAAGAGCCAUAGUAGCUGCUAGUUUCUACAAUACCAACCCGGCAAACCCUAUCUAGUAAAUGAUGACAAACAACUGAGUUUGAUCUUUUCUGGAAGUCAUGAGCUCCAUCGGCCGUGAGGCUUUAAAACACCAAGCACCAUGAUCAGCUUGAAGAGACUGAUUGCCAUAGCAAGAAAAUGGCAGAAGAUCACGGGCAUUGGGAAGAUCAGAACAAUCUCAUUGCCUGGAAUGAGCCACGGCCGGUUACCUCACAAGGGUCAUUUCGCUGUAUACUCUGCCGAUAAAAGACGAUUUGUGGUUCCUCUGACGUACCUGGAUUGCACCCUUUUCAGAGAGCUAUUGAGGAUGUCCGAGGAAGAGUUCGGGCUGCCAAAGGAUGGGCCUCUCACUCUGCCAUACGAUUCAGCUUCAAUGGAGUACAUUGUCUCAGUUGUUAAAAGAGAGAUCUCCAACGACUUAGAAAUGGCACUUUUAUUAUCAAUAUUACCCUUUACACAGUGCUCGUCAAAUUGUUUUACUCUUCCUGAAGGGCUUACUCAUUGCCCAAUAACUGUCCAUGGAUUUUGUUAAAAUUUUCUUCAACUUCAAAAUAACUUCUGAUAUGUACAGUUAAUGCUUGAUAUAUAAUUUUGGUUCUCAUUCAAAAGCUUGAAUUUGAUUCUUUAAAAAAAAAAAAAAAAAAAAAAAUCUUGAAUUCGAUCGUCUAGAGAAUUUGUUAUA